CCCUGCUUCCUGCUGGCUGAGAGCGCCGAGCGCGCCGCCGGAGGCUGGGGGACGUGGAGGCUCGGGGCUGGCAGCCUGACUGGCUUCCUGCAGGGCGUGGUUUCUGAAACCUCCGUGCGGAGGCACCUUCCCCAAAGUCGCCCCUUCCACCCUCCACACCUCCGCCGCGGCGCUUCUUCCCCGCCUCCCGGGCCGGCCGGCCCCACGGCUACGUCGUCAGACUGCCUGGAGGAGUUUCUUGUCAGGGCUUCUGAAUAGGUUUGAGGCAAAGGCUUCCGGAGGGACCCCCAUUCCAGGACGGGUCCGGCCCCACCCAGCUUGGCGAAGCAGGUGCGUCUCCAACGCCACCUGGUGGCCGUCAGGAGCCCCGCAGCGCCAUCUGGAGCUCCCGGGAAUUCCGCUGAGUCACUUCCGAGGCUUCAGCGGCAGACCCAGAGGGAACAAUAAGGAUCGUUGGAUUCCCGAGGCAGUGGUUCAGCGUUCACCUGGAAGACCCGGCCCGUCCCUUGUCUAAAGGCCUCGUCGUGGCCAACGAGGCCAACCCCACCUCGUCCCCUGCCGCUCUCCCCCAUCCAUCCUAGUGGCCACGCAGGCUCCUGCCUCAGGGCCUUUGCACUAGCUUGUGCCCUCCGACUGGCACGCUUCUCCCUGGGCACCUGUAGCCUGCACAUCCUUCCCACCGUCACUGCCAAGGCAUCUGCUCCAGCGGGGAUGUGUCAGAGAAGAGCAAGGUGGGAGCUGCCAGCCUGACCCGCAGAUGCUCGUUUGGGCAGUUAGAUUGGAAAAGAUGCAAACUACUAACUGGGAGCGCCACAUGCCGUAUGGUGCAAGUGGACAGGUGUGUGCGCCCGGUGUGCGUGACCGUGUGACUGUGCAAGGCUGCCCGUGCGAAGCGUAGGCACCGGCGCGCUGAGCUUUCUUCCCGUGAAUUCCCCGCCAGCCCGGAUGCCGGUCUUGCAGCCAUUGUGUCCCAGCUCCAAGCCCACCUUUCAGAGCGAGGCUCCUGCUGGGGGCUGCAAACUACGAUUCCCAGAAUCCCUGGUCGCCCCCGGAAUUCCUGCUGGGUUCGGCCAAUAGGAGCCGCCGGGACUCUUAACCUUUCGGAUGCUGGGGACUUUGCAGUCGCCUUUAGCAUCUGAGGGUGACAUAGGGAGCCUUUCUCAGAAUCGUGCUUUUAAAAAAAAAGUUGAAGCCUUUAAGUUGUGUUUUUAUUGUAUCCUGCCUUUUUAAAAUUGUGGUAAAAUAGCAUAACAUAACAUUUCCCAUCUUAAACAAUUUCAACUGUGGAGUUGAGUCAUAAGUAUCCACUCUGUUGUGAAACAGCACUCCAGAACUUUCUCUCUUUGCAAAUCUGAAACUCUAUACCCUUUAAAUUCUCCUUUCCCCUAAACCCCCUGGUAAUCACCCUUGUACUUUUUG